AGAUAUCUAAUCAAUGGAAGACGGAAUUAAAAGUUAAACGAGAAGGACAGGGUACAACGACCGAGAGCCAACAAGUAGACUGUUACAAACAACUCCAUUCACAUUAUAACGUAACUGUGUAAGACCAGAAAGAGCAUGCGACCUCAAUUAGCCUAGCUAGUUAGCUUCUCCCGGUUUGAUGCAGUCAAGACGGGUACUAGUACUCAUAUUGAAUAAUAAAAAGCCUAGCUAUGGCAGAUAUUAGUCUACUGUAGCACAAGUCGGCUUGGUUGGUUGCUGCCUCUCCCUCCCUGCUCGUGUCACUCGCUCACAGUAGCCGACACACAAAGCGCGGCCCCUGUUAGAGCGUCACUGCUCUUUACCUCCUCUCACUUCUUCAGCGCCGGUUAACUGCGGAUGGGAAAGCACCACAUCCAUUUCUGAACGAGUCCAACUUUUUGGACCCGUGAAGGCUUCCAAUUCCAAUCCUCUGAAAAUAGUCUUCAGACAACGUAAUGUACACUAUCAAGCAGUAAAGAGCGACAUAACCCCAAAGGAAAAACACCAGAGACCUACCAAGUGACCAGCCAAAGUUGAAGCUCCAUUUAUAUCCCACGGUCCAACCUGGCAGACUACUACACCCCACUGCUGCAACUACUACUGCUGCUGAAGGAGCAUUGCUCCCGUUCACCCACACACACCAACACAGUCAUGAAGAAGGCACGACAACGCCUCUUCAGGAGGCUGAAAAGAUUUGGCAUGGGCCCUCAAACCCCCAAAAGUCCUACAGCUGCACCAUUGAGAGCAUUUUGACUGGCUGGGUCACCGCUUGGUAUUGCAACUGCUUGGCAUCCGACAGCAAGGCGCUAUAGAAGGUAGUGCCUACGGCUCAGUAUGUCACUGGGGAUGCGCUACCUGCCAUCCCUCUAUACCAGGCGGUUACCUUUCUAUUUCUCUCUCUGUAUUGUUGGGAAGGGCCCGUAAGUCAGCAUUUCACUGUUAGUCUACACCAGUUGUUUACCAAGCAUGUGACCAAUAAAAUGCGAUGUUCAGA